rnacentral:rRNA from 1 species
UCGAACGAUGAAACCGCCCUCGGGCGGACAUGAAGUGGCGAACGGGUGAGUAACACGUGACCAACCUGCCCCUUGCUCCGGGACAACCUUGGGAAACCGAGGCUAAUACCGGAUACUCCUCGCCCCCCCUCCCUGGGGGGCCCGGGAAAGCCCAGACGGCAAGGGAUGGGGUCGCGGCCCAUUAGGUAGUAGGCGGGGUAACGGCCCACCUAGCCCGCGAUGGGUAGCCGGGUUGAGAGACCGACCGGCCACAUUGGGACUGAGAUACGGCCCAGACUCCUACGGGAGGCAGCAUG